rnacentral:rRNA from 1 species
AUUAACAAGGAAAUAAUAAAUGUUCUAUCACGAAGGAAUGUGAGCUAAACGCACAUAUGACGUAUUUGCGUGCGUCGCAUAGCACGUAUUAAAUGCGCGUUUAGGGGUGAUAGGCUUUUCAAACGUUCUUAUAGCUUGUUUCAUAUGAAAAGUAUUAAGUACCUAAACAAAUUUAAAAAGUUAAGCUUUUAAAUAAAUAUUAAAGAUAUUAUUCCCUUGUAGUGUAGUUUAAUAGCUAUCUACAUAAUAACUUAACAUAAAGUAUGACAGUUUAUAUUUUAUAGUAUGACGCUAACCGUUUUGUUAAUAUUUGAAAAUGUUAGUAUUAGUAGUAUUAGUAUAUGUGCUAAAGGAACUUGGCAAAAAACCGCUCAACUGUUUAUCAAAAACAUAGCUAUAUGAAUUAAUAUAUAGUUAUUUCUGCUCAAUGACUUAAAUAGCCGCAGUACUCUGACUGUGCAAAGGUAGCAUAAUCAGUUGGCUCCUAAUUAGAGUCUGGUAUGAACGAAAAUAUGGGUAGUAACUGUCUUAGCACAUUUUUAUGAACUUACUAAACAAGUGCAAAUGCUUGUAAUUUAACAAUAGACGAGAAGACCCUAGAAACUUGGACAAGUUUUUGUUGGGGCGACAGAAUUACAUUUAACUAAUCUUAUAAUACAUGACGCAAUGUUGAAAGAAUAAGUUACUCUAGGGAUAACAGCAUAAUUUCGUUAGUUUGUGACCUCGAUGUUGGACUAGGUACUAUACCCUUAAGGCAAGGAUAUAUUGUGCUCUGUUCGAGCAAAAUUACCUACAUGAUCUGAGUUCAGACCGG